rnacentral:rRNA from 1 species
UGCCAGCAGCCGCGGUAAUACAGAGGGUGCAAGCGUUAAUCGGAAUUACUGGGCGUCAAGCGCACGCAGGCGGUUGGUUAAGUCAGAUGUGAAAGCCCCGGGCUCAACCUGGGAAUUGCAUUUGAAACUGGCCAACUAGAGUAUGUGAGAGGGGGGUAGAAUUCCAAGUGUAGCGGUGAAAUGCGUAGAGAUUUGGAGGAAUACCAGUGGCGAAGGCGGCCCCCUGGCACAAUACUGACGCUCAGGUGCGAAAGCGUGGGGAGCAAACAGGAUUAGAUACCCUGGUAGUCCACGCCGUAAACGAUGUCUACUAGCUGUUCGUGGUCUUGUACUGUGAGUAGCGCAGCUAACGCACUAAGUAGACCGCCUGGGGAGUACGGUCGCAAGAUUAAAACUCAAAUGAAUUGACGG